AUCAAUCUGACGAGUCCAAAAUAAGACAAAACCCGCGUCCUGGAU
rnacentral:hammerhead_ribozyme from 1 species